GGCCUCGUCGCCAAGUGGUAAGGCAACGGUUUGCAAAACCGUCAUCCCCGGUUCAAAUCCGGGCGAGGCCU
rnacentral:tRNA from 3 species